rnacentral:rRNA from 1 species
UACGUAGGGUGCGAGCGUUGUCCGGAAUUAUUGGGCGUAAAGAGCUCGUAGGCGGCUUGUCGCGUCGGAUGUGAAAGCCCGGGGCUUAACCCCGGGUCGGCAGUGGAUACGGGCAGGCUAGAGGUAGGUAGGGGAGAAUGGAAUUCCCGGUGUAGCGGUGAAAUGCGCAGAUAUCGGGAGGAACACCGGUGGCGAAGGCGGUUCUCUGGGCCUUACCUGACGCUGAGGAGCGAAAGCGUGGGGAGCGAACAGG